CCCGCCCCCGCAGCGCCUCCCCUCUCCCAUUGGCCGAGGUGGAGGCCCGCCUCCCAGCCCAAUGGGCGCCGCCGCGGCUCGGCCGCCGGCGCUCUGACUGGCCAGCGGCCGGCGGAGUGGCGGGGUGCGAGCCAAUGGAGAAAGGCGGCUCGAUGAAUGGCUGGCCCGGGUGGGGAAGGCAGGAGGCGGCGAUCCCUGCGGAGGGGGCCGUUCGCCAGCUCCGAGGCAGAAAGUGCCACGACUCCACACGCGCGCACGCAGCCAGCGAGCGGCCGGAGCGGACGGCGGACGGGGCGGGCAGCGUCGGGAUCGAGGCGCCUGCAGCUGCUUAGGGGGCAGCUUCUCGGCGGAGGCUUGGCCGGCUCCUCUCUCUCCCGCUUCCGCGGCGGCGGCGGCGGCUCCUGCCCUCUUGCUCUCCCUCCCGCGUCUCCGGCUGCAGGCAGAGAAACAGUUGAUCCUAGACUCCGACCCCUUCUGAUGGGAGGAACUGGCCCACUCAUUUCACGCAGAACCGUGAGAGAUCAGGUUCUGGCCCUCAGCCCAGGUGCGCUGGUCCUCUGUUGUACCCCUGCCAGCGUUGUAGAGCCUGGACUGUAG
rnacentral:lncRNA from 1 species